rnacentral:tRNA from 2 species
GCGUCGGUGGUUCAGUGGUAGAAUACUCGCCUGCCACGCGGGUGGCCCGGGUUCGAUUCCUGGCCGACGCA